rnacentral:ncRNA from 1 species
AAAGUCCGAGUCCGGUAAAGCCUAGCAAGCAACCGGUACAUAGCCUUGGAGUCUAGCUCGUGAGGGCGGAUUUAAGCGUAGGCAGUGGAGUGUGAGAGCCGCAAUGCGAAAGCGUGAAGCGAUUCAGCCCCGUAAGUCAUAAUGAGCGGAAGCCGAUGUUUUCCUUUUAACAGCAGGCAAUAAGAAUCAGACAUAAAGCUAGUCUGAGGAGAUUCCGCCGGGGUCUUAGAGC